AUCGCUUCUCGGCCUUUUGGCUAAGAUCAAGUGUAGUAUCUGUUUCUUAUCAGUUUAAUAUCUGAUACGUCCCUAUCUGGGGACCAUAUAUUAAAUGGAUUUUUGGAACAGGGAGAUGGAAGAAGAGCUUGCUCUGUCCACUCCACGCAUCGACCUGGUAUUGCAGUACCUCCAGGACCGGUGCACCUCUC
rnacentral:snRNA from 1 species